GCACUCUUAGUACAUAAUAAGUACAUUUGACUUCCAAUCAAAAAGUUUAUAAUCCAUAAAGAGUGCA
rnacentral:tRNA from 1 species